GACGAACGCUGGCGGCGUGCUUAACGCAUGCAAGUCGAACGGAAAGGGCCUGCUUUUGUGGGUUGCUCGAGUGGCGAACGGGUGAGUAACACGUGAGUAACCUGCCAUUGACUUUGGGAUAACUGCAGGAAACUGGGGCUAAUACCGUAUAGGAGCUCCUGCUGCAUGGUGGGGGUUGGAAAGGUUCGGCGGAUGGGGAUGUACUCGCGGCUUAUCAGCUUGUUGGGGGGGUAGUGGAUUACCAAGGCUUUGACGGGUAGCCGGCCUGAGAGGGUGACCGGCAACAUUGGGACUGAGAUACGGCACAGACUACUACGGGAGGCAGCAGUGGGGAAUAUUGCACAAUGGGCGGAAGCCGGAUGCAGCAACGCCGCGUGCGGGAUGACGGCCUUCGGGUUGUAAACCGCUUUCGCCUGUGACGAAGCGUGAGUGACGGUAAUGGGUAAAGAAGCACCGGCUAACUACGUG
rnacentral:rRNA from 1 species